rnacentral:rRNA from 1 species
ACGAACGCUGGCGGCAUGCCUAACACAUGCAAGUCGAACGAGACCUUCGGGUCUAGUGGCGCCCGGGUGCGUAACGCGUGGGAAUCUACCCUCAGGUUCGGAAUAACUCAGAGAAAUUUGAGCUAAUACCGGAUGAUGACGUAAGUCCAAAGAUUUAUCGCCUGAGGAUGAGCCCGCGUAGGAUUAGGUAGUUGGUGAGGUAAAGGCUCACCAAGCCGACGAUCCUUAGCUGGUCUGAGAGGAUGAUCAGCCACACUGGGACUGAGACACGGCCCAGACUCCUACGGGAGGCAGCAGUGGGGAAUAUUGGACAAUGGGCGAAAGCCUGAUCCAGCAAUGCCGCGUGAGUGAUGAAGGCCUUAGGGUUGUAAAGCUCUUUUACCCGGGAUGAUAAUGACAGUACCGGGAGAAUAAGCUCCGGCUAACUCCGUG